AACGAACGCUGGCGGCAGGCUUAACACAUGCUAGUCGAACGCUCCGCAAGGAGAGUGGCAGACGGGUGAGUAACGCGUGGGAAUCUACCUAGUUCUACGGAACAACAGUUGGAAACGACUGCUAAUACCGUAUACGCCCUACGGGGGAAAGAUUUAUCGGAAUUAGAUGAGCCCGCGUAAGAUUAGCUAGUUGGUGGGGU
rnacentral:rRNA from 1 species